UUGAGUAAGACUUGAGAAAAAAACUUAAGG
rnacentral:piRNA from 1 species